CCUACGGGAGGCAGCAGUAGGGAAUCUUCCACAAUGGGCGAAAGCCUGAUGGAGCAACGCCGCGUGGGUGAAGAAGGUCUUCGGAUCGUAAAACCCUGUUGUUAGAGAAGAAAGUGCGUGCGAGUAACUGUUCACGUUUCGACGGUAUCUAACCAGAAACCCACGGCUAACUACGUGCCAGCAGCCGCGGUAAUACGUAGGUGGCAAGCGUUAUCCGGAUUUAUUGGGCGUAAAGGGAACGCAGGCGGUCUUUUAAGUCUGAUGUGAAAGCCUUCGGCUUAACCGGAGUAGUGCAUUGGAAACUGGGAGACUGGAGUGCAGAAGAGGAGAGUGGAACUCCAUGUGUAGCGGUGAAAUGCGUAGAUAUAGGGAAGAACACCAGUGGCGAAAGCGGCUCUCUGGUCUGUAACUGACGCUGAGGUUCGAAAGCGUGGGUAGCAAACAGGAUUAGAUACCCUUGUAGUC
rnacentral:rRNA from 1 species